ensembl:rRNA Gm22790 predicted gene, 22790
GUCUGUGGUCAUGCCACCAUAAACACUCUCAAUCUCCUCCAGUCUUGGAAGCUAAACAGGACUAGACUGGUACUUAGUACCAGGAUGGGAGAAAGCCCUAUCUUAUGAAAAUAAAAGUAUGCACAAUCA